AUUUAGGAAUCCAUGUCGCAAAUGAAUGGCCUGAUGUAGGAAUAUAUCCAGUCAGCCAAAUAAGUGCCAAAGCAAUACGUUUACCUUACAAACAAACAUAUUGUAUGAUACCAAUUUUACACACUACUGACUAAAAUGUAUUACGUCAUAUUUUGGGACGAAUACUGUCAAAUUGUUCCUCAUUGUUGGUUGAAUAUUUCUGACAAUACAUUCAAACAUCCACCAUCUACCUGUAAUAUGACAAAA